ensembl:snRNA U6 U6 spliceosomal RNA
GUGCUUGCUUUGGCAGCACAUAUACUAAAAUUGAAACGAUACAGAGAAGACUAACAACAUACAUGGCCCCUGUGCAAGGAUGACAUGCAAAUUCAUGAAGUGUAAAGUAUUUUA